rnacentral:rRNA from 1 species
AUGGCGUGCAUCAAUACCUUGCAGAGCUGCUCCAUGUUCAAAGGGGCCAAGAGUAAGGCCAGAAGAGGUAGAGCCAGUGGCGGGACCUUUGAGUGCCGGGCGUCCACGUUCAUGGACGGGAGCGGGCUCCGGCUCGGGCUCGACGAGAACCCCGAUGCCAUCAUCUCCGGGGAGUGGCCCGAGAACUUCUCCCUCCUCAGCUACGACGACCUCCGCGCAUACCUCCAGUCACAGCAGCAGCAGCAACAACGACAACCAUCCCAUGCCGGCGAUCAGCAGCGGGGGCCUCUCCUGCGUGAGGCCAUGUCGACGCCCGUGCUGAUGGUCACAGCGGAGCAGGCGCUGGUGGAGGUUGAAGGCCACUUCCAGCUCGUGUCAGGCCUCCCGGUUGUCGACAGUGCCCGCCGAUGUGUCGGGGUCGUCGUCAAGAGCGAUCACGUGAGGGCUUCACAUGGGCCAAAGACGAAGAUUGCAGAUGUGAUGACAUCUCCAGCAAUCACGCUAUCAUGCGAUAAAACAGUGACCGAUGCCGCAGCUCUGAUGCUCAGGAAGAAGAUCCACAGAUUACCGAUAGUAAACCAGGACAAUCAAGUAAUAGGUAUAGUUACCCGCGAUGACGUUCUUCGCGCGUUGGAGGCCAUGCUGAAGUUUUAG